UUUAUGUCUGUUAGCCUCUGACUCUCCUGCUGUUUUAACAGGGGGUUUUCCUCUCUUGAUUGCUUGCCACCUGCACCUUCUCUCCAUCCCUCGCUGCCCUGUCCUGGGGAGAGCUGGACGCUGCCCUCGCGGGGCUCCCUCGGAGGCUGUCCAGGGUCUGGCCUGGGAGGUCCUGCAGGUUGUCGGCCAGGCUGGGUCACGUGACGCAGUGCCCUUGCGGCGGGUGCAGAACUCAGCCAGGCCUUCUCACUCGUUGAUCUUGAUUUACCAGUUUCUCCUGUAGAAGAGUGAAAGCGGCUUUGUACGUAAUAUUUGCUUAAAUUUCUUUUUUUAAUGGCUAAGGUCUGUUGAUUUCGUGCCAAGAGUUUUGGGGGUAGAUGUGUAAAGGUCUGCCUUACAGUGCCUUAUAGUUAUAGCCCCUCAGGCAGUUGGCGUUUGAGAGUGGUGUGUACUGAGGUGUGUAAACUUCUCUAGGAAAUGGUGCAUGAGGAGGCCCCUCUCCUUUGCCUUAUGGAGCCCACCAACCAACGCUUCCCUUGGCACCUGCAGUGUGAGUGGUUUUGUAAACAGCAAAUACUUCUUGGGUUUUGGAUCCUUUGAGUUUUUCACUUACAAUUGUCAGGGUGAGUUAACAGAGAAGCUAGAAGAAUUCUUGCCUGGGGGUAAAUGAGAACUGUGUAGGAGUCUGUCCUAAUCACCCUGGGGAAGGAGGGCGUUCAUCACCGGAGUCCGGGCAGCCAGCCUCUCAGCAGUGUCUCCUGUGUGUGGCUGCUUCAUCUGCGUGUUCUAGGCCAAAUAAAGUACUCGUUAACCCAGAAUAAACUGGUGCUGGCAACUAAGUACGUCAGCUUACGUAGUUAUUGAAAAUCCUACUUCAGUGCUUUUUCUGAUCUUGACUCGGCUGCAGGGGUGAUGUUCUGAUAAGUUAUAGUCACUGAAUCGCAGUCUUAUCAACUCUUUCUUUAGUCCUUGAGGUCGGAAGCAGUUUCUAAAAAUGUUCAUUUGAAUGAAACUCCUUGCGAUGGGGCAUUUUUCAGUUGCUCUAAGAUUUCAUAUUGCCAUUUGACCUUUCUAGUUUUCAUAGGGAGCCUCUCCCACCUUAUAGGGUAGGAAGGGGAGCAUUUCUCACCCCGUUGUGACGUAUCCUAAUUUGUCUUGACUAACGACUAAGCUGCUGCGAGCAGACAGCUGCCAGCAGCACAUUCUGUCAUCAGCAGUAAUUUCAGAUGAGAUUUCAUUCAUUCUUCCCCAUAACUAUAAAUUAGAUAGGAGUCUCAUGUAAUCUGAGUCUUAAUCUAAAUUUAUUGGAUUAAGUUUCAUAGGAAUGUUUAUCCUGGCCCCCUUCCCCCAUGAGGUUUCUUUUUAGUAUUUGUUCUUACAAAGAUAGCUGGUAAACACAAAUUCAAAGAAAAAAAGAACUUCUAAGACAACCAUGAUUUUAUCUUCCCAAAGACAACAUGUGGUGAUAAUGCUUCCAGAUCCUUUUCUAUUAUAAGUUUAUUCUUUUAUUGUUACUGUGAGAUCUUCAUGGAAUAAAUAUUUUUCUAGUCCACUAGCAUGUGAGUUGGUGACUUGGGCCUUCUGUGUGGAGGUAGCACGUGCAUCCCAGGGUAAUGGAGCACUCCAUGGCACGCUAGCAAUCUGUGUUUAUACCAGCCGUGCCUUGUAGUGCUUGGGCCAGAGGUCCUUGUGAGCUGCUCAUUCCACCCCUACGACCGACAGGCAAGCACAGUAGGUUUGCAGAGGCUGUGCUCCUUGUGCAGAAUUUUACAUGACAGAUCUGAGACCUAAACUCACAUCUUUCAUAGCUAGCAUUCCUUUCACCCUAUCUGACUAACUGGCUAUGUGCCACCUUACCUCUUCCAGUACCUAGAUGUCACUUUUAAAAUCGACAUUAGAGUUAAUGUCGCUGUAAAAUGAGGGUCCGUCAUUCUGUCCACCUCUAGUUCUGAUGCCUCACAACAUCACCCACCCUUGUGCAGGGUUUUCCUAAACUGGUAAUCUGAUUCUUCGUAAUAAAAUUAGGAUUUUGAUGCUUUACUAGUAACUGAUACCUCUUUAUGGACAAUUAGUACAGUUUCUCAUCAGUGAAAAUACGUACAUAGCGUGGUUUUUUGUUGGGUGUCAGCCUGAGUCGAGCAGAAGACAGUCGUGCCGUCACUGUGGCCUUUUGCGUUCAGCGUCAGCACUGCUUUGUGAACACACUGUGGUCGUCACUCCUGUGCUGCACGGCACGUCUGCCUCACAAGGGCGCUGCGCUUAUGUUCAGUUUAGGGUGCUGAAAACUCCACACAUGCAGACAGCCUGCCAUAAAUAACGGUUCGCACCUUUACUUGCACACUUACCCGAUUAUUUCCUUAGAAGAAAUUCCUAGAUGUAGUAUUGCCAGGUCCAAAGUGGUUUUUAAAAAAAAUUUAUACAGGUAUAAAAAAAAUUAAGUGUGUGUGUGUUUUCUCUGUUUGCAGAACUCCCCCCCCUCCAGGAGUUGGACUCCUUUGCACCCCACCUGCAGGGGCUGUGCGCCCCUUUCCCUGGGUCCUCGCCGGUGCUGGUCUUACCAGUCCCUUUGGUCUUUCCAUCCUGAAAAGUAUAAAAUGAUCUACCAUUGUUUCCAUCAGCAUUUCUUUGAUUGUAAAGGACAUUAAAUCGUUUUCAUUUCUCCACUGGCCAUUUAUAUUUCUUCUGUGAACUGCUUGAACUUUGCCCGUUUUUCCAUCAGGGGUGAGCAGUGGUCUUGGGACUUGUUUGGAAUAACCUGUCCCCUGUGUUGCUUAAUGAAGGACAGUGAAAGCAGCGAGAGGGUGGAGAGCUGGUACAGAGACUUGGGGGCGAGGACCUUAAAACUGAGAGCGUCCUUCCCUCAGGAAUGUCACUGGACUGCACAGAGAUACUGGAAGCAGAUGUUUUGUUCAGCAAAGACCUAAGAAUGCCACUAGUAUAAGAGAAAUAUGCAGACUGGAAGGGUUAUGAUGGGGGUUGUGUUUGGACCUCUGUUUGUCUUUGAAAAUUAACACUUAAGAAAAGCUCACCGGUUUAUGUUAUUUGCCUCCACGAAGGGCACCACAACACUAGAAACUGCCCUACUUUGGGGAAGUUUGCUGACGAGCCUGAAUUUUCCAGGUAGAAAUGGGGGACCUGAAUUUCACAAGAUGGAAAGGAGUUCUGCCUUCCACGUCUUCCUGCUGACAAAAACCAUUCCUUCUCCUUCAGGGCCCAGUCCCUCAGGCUCUCUGCCUAGAGGAUCCCAUGGCCGUGGAUGGAACUGACACCGCGCCCUGCUUCCUGUAGUGGGACGCACAGCGCAGACUUCAGACAGCUGACCCAGUUAAUGAAAGCCGGCUGUUUCACUGUCGUACUUACUUCAAGUGCUUGACUUCUAGCUAAUUUUAAAGGAAAGAAAUAUUAAACUUGUGCCCUGGGGUCCAAAUUUACUGAAAUAAGAGGGCCACUGAAUGUUGCGUUUUGGCAGAAGUCUUGCGGGUUUGUGGGUGUGCUUUGUUUUGGGGUUUUUUUCCCCCCUAUUGUUUUCGUCUAUUUACAGUGACUAAAUUUUUUUUAUUUUUU